rnacentral:lncRNA from 1 species
UGCCCUGAGAAAUGUCUCAUUUGAUGAGACAAUGGUUAGAAAUGGUCAUUUGAUGCAAUAGUUUAUAACAUAAGUGAGCAAGGAACUAUUUUCAAAUAUGAAAACUUUUGGGCCAUGUAUUUCAACUCCUUCCUCCAUUUUUUAAAAUUCUCCUCUAGAUGCUUACAAGGGGGUUAGUACCCCUUGUUUAGGCUCUCUCCUCAAAACUCCCUUCCACUCCAACUCCCUAGUUUUCUUUAACUUUCUCCCCCUUAGGAAAGUGAAAGAAUAAGAGCUCCAGCUAGAGACGCUUGAUUGAAAUAGCACGGGCACACGGCAGCCUCCUCUGCAGGGCUUUGCCAGCGAGCCCCGCCCCGCCUGCAGAUCCUGGGUAUGCUACUGGGUACGGGAACCGACCCCUGACCGUGAGGCUCGGCAUCGGGCCCUGGCUGUUCUGAAGAUAAGGACGAUCUCCCUCCGGGGUCCAGGCAGCACUGCCCGUCUUGCUAUCCUUGGAGUCUGUGCCAAGUACAUCAGGAAAAUCUCUUUUUCAUUGUUUGAUUUUCCACGGGCUUUGAAAACGUUCCCAUUUCAUACAGCCAAGUCCAGAAUUAAAUUGGACUUCACUGAUCUUUGCUGACAAAAAAUUCCCAUUCCACUUCCUGAGGCUCUUCCGCCUGGAUUUGUUUAUUGGCCUCAUAGAUGAUGUUUCUGACGUGCGCCCAGAGCUCCUCACUCAGAGCCCCUUCACACACGAGCUGACCCUGCACACUGCUUUGUGAUAUAAAUUAUUCAUCUGAUUUCUUCAGCACUAGGCAGGCAUGGCCGAGGAGAGCCUCGCUUUCCCAACGUGGAGUCAUUGACGUUUUUCUGUUUUCCCGCGAGGUGGUUAGGGAAUGAUUAAAAUGGACUUGAAGAGUCAAUUUCUGUUGGGAUUGUGGCUCGGCAGUCAGCAAUCUGCUAGGGUGGUCUGAGGGCCAGUCAUUACGGAAACACUGCCAAAGCUGGCUUUCUACAGAAAAUAAAAUUUCCUGUAGAAGCAAAUAAAGACUGAGCUUUACUCCUUCCGUUAUCUUUAUAAAGCAAGUGUUAAAAAGUUUCUUUAUGGUAUCAGCUUCUAAAUAUUGGGUAGGUGAUAAAAGUUAAUUAGAAAUGCUCCACAUGACUUAAAAUAGACUUCUGUCUCAAAAUGAAUGCUUUAGAACUAUGUAUUCUUAU